UUUUUUUUUUUUUUUUUUUUUUUUGUUUUGGCUUCUUAGGGUCACACCGGAGGCAUAUGGAAGUUCCCAGGCUAAGAGUCGAAUCGGAGCUGCAGCUGUGGGCCUACACCACAGCCGCAGCAACCAGGGAUCCAAACCACAUCUGCGACCGACACAGCAGUUCACAGCAACACAGCAACCCGGAAUCCUUAACCCCCUGAGCCAGGCCGGGCUACAGCUGGCCAGCUACAGCUCAGAUUCAAGCCCUGUCUGGGAGCUUCAUAUGCGGCAGGUGCGGGCCUAAAAAGAGCAAAAAAAAGGGUUCAUUUGCUUCUUGAAACCAGUUCCUCCAGACAGCACAUGGGUACAUAUAUUUAAACCAAAAGAAUGACAAAACCCACCACUAAUAAAAAUGUAAAGGUCACACUUUACUUCAAAAAGCAACACUAAUUACUCACAUUCUACGCCUCUAUGCGAUUCAAGGGAAACGCUCUCCGAGGUCUCUCACUCACCCAGUGCAGGGGCUCCUGUUAUCGCCUCUCACCUGGCCCAGGCUGACAGUAAACUCUCUUAAGUGGCCAACUGCCCUGGCAAAUGAGGUUUUGCACAUUUUCUAACAUUAGCGCAACUCAGAAUGCCAAAUACUCUUGACAUUUUACCAGGAACACUGCCAGCAGCUCAAGUGUGCAGGGUAACAGUUUGUCCAUCAGAGGAGACACGCUGCAUGAAUCAAACAGACAUGUUACUUAACAAGCCAAUAAUGGUAAAAAUGCACCAAUACAGAGACCAGUGGCAGGCGGAACCACCAGUUUUUAUCUAUCCCAAGAGGGAUAAGAAACAUUCUGGAACGUAAACCUCCAACGAAACCUGAAGUUACAGAAUCCUGGAGCUGGAGGAACUUAAAGGCUAUGUGAUGCCAAAUACCCUAUUUAUCGAAGUGACAACUGAGACUGAGAGGCUUUGACUUGGUCAAGGCCCCCAGGGAGUGGGGGUAAGCUAUCAACUCAUUCUGUGCUCACGUCCCAUAAUCUUGCCACUUCCCCAGGCACCACCUGGUUCACUGUGCCCCCCCAAACUUCAUGGAGGGCAUUCAUUUCUGCAUCUUCCUACCACCAAUACUUUACAAACACAGUUUGGCUGAUCUGCAGGUUCCAGAUAUGCGAAGAGAAAUGGCCAUCAGGAAGAUACAGGAGCAGCAGCGAGAAGCCUCAGGCAAAACAACCAGCUCAGAGUUUUCUGUUAGGGCUCAUCACACAACUGUCGGGUUAACUUUAGCAGAGAACAGAUAAGGAGGGCUCAGCAGGGCAACAAAGCCACCACUGGGGAGGACUUCUUUCUCCUGGAAAAGGACCUUCAGGCUCCUCGGAUCCAGGGGAAAGAGGCCAGGCCUAGAAGUUAAAACCGGGUAUGAGUCAAACCACUUAGUAAGGGGGUAAGUUACUCAGUCCCUCUGAGCAGUAUUUCCUUUAUCUGCUAAAAAAAAAAAAAAAAGGAGUAUCUUACACCUCAGAGUUUUGAAAACAUUAAAAGCGAUAAUGGGGGGGGGGGCUGCCCUGAGGCAUAUGGAGUUCCCAGGAUCCCUGGCCAGGGAUCAGAUCCGAGCUGUAGUUGCCACCUACACCACAGCUGCAGCAACACCAGAUCCUUAACCCACUGCGCUGAGCCAGGGAUCAAACCUAUGUCCCAUGGCCCCAGGAACUCCAGGGGUUCCCUGCAGUCCAGUGGUUAAAGAUCCGGUGUUGUCACUGCUGUGGCAGGGGUUUGAUCCCUGGCCCUGGAACUUCCCCGCACCCGUGGGCGUGGCCGGAAUAAAUAAAUAUUUCAGAAAAGUUUAGAAAAAAUAAAAUAGCAAAGCCUACAACACACUACAUAUGUGGUGGGUCUCCUUCCCAGAUGUAGUCAAUUAAAACUAAAUAAAAUUUAACAUUCAGUUCCUCGGUCACAUUUAAGUGCCUGACAGUCACAUUGUGCAGUGUCUGGGAGCAGAGACACAGGAGACGUUUUCGUCAUCCCUGCACAGGGUCAGGCCAGCGCCUCCCUCUCCCUCACCAGGUCCAGACCUCAACACACCCAAGUGCUGCGGCUUUCUCUUCCUAAAUCGCUCUCUAAGCCACGCCCUCUGCCUGCCUCAAGGUCCCCACAACUUUGGAUGGCUGACGGCCUCGCUGGGUCUCCAGGGUGAUGGUUCUGCCGGGACAUAUCUGAACUCGUCUCUUUCCAGGGCUUUCUGGGUCCUUCAGGAACCCCAGGCCCAGCCUCCAAACACUCUUAUGAUCUGGUUCCACUUCUGAGACCCAGCCCCUCUUUCCUGCCCACUGUGCCACAUGUGCCUCCUGCAUGGCGGCUGGGCUCCCUCCGACACAGUCACCGUGAUGAAACCCUAUGGGCCAAAGGACAGAACUUCACUGAAAAGGAGUACUAAGUCCCCAACAUCGACCCCAGGCAGAAAACUGUAGCCUGAGGCAGGAAGGAGCCGGAACACCAGCCUUUGGGUCUGGACUUUACGAAGCUUAGCCCUGCUUGAGGGUCUUCACAGCCACCGCCUGGCCUGGGUCACCUCCACCUCUGCCAUGGUCCACCUUCCUCCAAACAAUUCUCUCACAUCACAGCCAUUAAAAAAAAAAAAACAAAAUCAGCUCCACGAAUGAAACAAUUAAGAGGAGGAGACAACCCCAAAGCAUCCUGCUCUGCCCCAAAUCCCUCACCGCUUAGCUCUGCCUUCCUGCAUCACAUCGGAUCUGUUCUCUAGGCUCUUCUGUGGGGCCGCACGAG
ensembl:lncRNA